rnacentral:rRNA from 1 species
UUAAGCGACUAAGCGUACACGGUGGAUGCCCUGGCAGUCAGAGGCGAUGAAGGACGUGCUAAUCUGCGAUAAGCGCCGGUAAGGUGAUAUGAACCGUUAUAACCGGCGAUUUCCGAAUGGGGAAACCCAGUGUGACUCGUCACACUAUCAUUAACUGAAUCCAUAGGUUAAUGAGGCGAACCGGGGGAACUGAAACAUCUAAGUACCCCGAGGAAAAGAAAUCAACCGAGAUUCCCCCAGUAGCGGCGAGCGAACGGGGAGGAGCCCAGAGCCUGAAUCAGCAUGUGUGUUAGUGGAAGCGUCUGGAAAGGCGCGCGAUACAGGGUGACAGCCCCGUACACAAAAGCGCAUGUGCUGUGAGCUCGAUGAGUAGGGCGGGACACGUGGUAUCCUGUCUGAAUAUGGGGGGACCAUCCUCCAAGGCUAAAUACUCCUGACUGACCGAUAGUGAACCAGUACCGUGAGGGAAAGGCGAAAAGAACCCCGGCGAGGGGAGUGAAAAAGAACCUGAAACCGUGUACGUACAAGCAGUGGGAGCACAGGUUUACCUGUGUGACUGCGUACCUUUUGUAUAAUGGGUCAGCGACUUAUAUUCUGUAGCAAGGUUAACCGAAUAGGGGAGCCGGAGGGAAACCGAGUCUUAAUUGGGCGUUAAGUUGCAGGGUAUAGACCCGAAACCCGGUGAUCUAGCCAUGGGCAGGUUGAAGGUUGGGUAACACUAACUGGAGGACCGAACCGACUAAUGUUGAAAAAUUAGCGGAUGACCUGUGGCUGGGGGUGAAAGGCCAAUCAAACCGGGAGAUAGCUGGUUCUCCCCGAAAGCUAUUUAGGUAGCGCCUCGUGAACUCAUCUCCGGGGGUAGAGCACUGUUUCGGCUAGGGGGCCAUCCCGGCUUACCAACCCGAUGCAAACUGCGAAUACCGGAGAAUGUUAUCACGGGAGACACACGGCGGGUGCUAACGUCCGUCGUGAAGAGGGAAACAACCCAGACCGCCAGCUAAGGUCCCAAAGUCAUGGUUAAGUGGGAAACGAUGUGGGAAGGCCCAGACAGCCAGGAUGUUGGCUUAGAAGCAGCCAUCAUUUAAAGAAAGCGUAAUAGCUCACUGGUCGAGUCGGCCUGCGCGGAAGAUGUAACGGGGCUAAACCAUGCACCGAAGCUGCGGCAGCGAACGUAUCACUUAAAGCGAUUCAGCGGGUUACGAUUGACGGAGCGAAGCGACGUCAAAGCGUAUACAAAGUCGAGUCGGUUUAAGGAUACGUUCGUUGGGUAGGGGAGCGUUCUGUAAGCCUGCGAAGGUGGCCUGUGAGGGUUGCUGGAGGUAUCAGAAGUGCGAAUGCUGACAUAAGUAACGAUAAAGCGGGUGAAAAGCCCGCUCGCCGGAAGACCAAGGGUUCCUGUCCAACGUUAAUCGGGGCAGGGUGAGUCGACCCCUAAGGCGAGGCCGAAAGGCGUAGUCGAUGGGAAACGGGUUAAUAUUCCCGUACUUGGUGUUACUGCGAAGGGGGGACGGAGAAGGCUAUGUUGGCCGGGCGACGGUUGUCCCGGUUUAAGCGUGUAGGCUGGUUUUCCAGGCAAAUCCGGAAAAUCAAGGCUGAGGCGUGAUGACGAGGCACUACGGUGCUGAAGCAACAAAUGCCCUGCUUCCAGGAAAAGCCUCUAAGCAUCAGGUAACAUCAAAUCGUACCCCAAACCGACACAGGUGGUCAGGUAGAGAAUACCAAGGCGCUUGAGAGAACUCGGGUGAAGGAACUAGGCAAAAUGGUGCCGUAACUUCGGGAGAAGGCACGCUGACAUGUAGGUGAAGUGAUUUACUCAUGGAGCUGAAGUCAGUCGAAGAUACCAGCUGGCUGCAACUGUUUAUUAAAAACACAGCACUGUGCAAACACGAAAGUGGACGUAUACGGUGUGACGCCUGCCCGGUGCCGGAAGGUUAAUUGAUGGGGUCAGCGCAAGCGAAGCUCCUGAUCGAAGCCCCGGUAAACGGCGGCCGUAACUAUAACGGUCCUAAGGUAGCGAAAUUCCUUGUCGGGUAAGUUCCGACCUGCACGAAUGGCGUAAUGAUGGCCAGGCUGUCUCCACCCGAGACUCAGUGAAAUUGAACUCGCUGUGAAGAUGCAGUGUACCCGCGGCAAGACGGAAAGACCCCGUGAACCUUUACUAUAGCUUGACACUGAACAUUGAGCCUUGAUGUGUAGGAUAGGUGGGAGGCUUUGAAGUGUGGACGCCAGUCUGCAUGGAGCCGACCUUGAAAUACCACCCUUUAAUGUUUGAUGUUCUAACGUGGACCCGUAAUCCGGGUUGCGGACAGUGUCUGGUGGGUAGUUUGACUGGGGCGGUCUCCUCCUAAAGAGUAACGGAGGAGCACGAAGGUUGGCUAAUCCUGGUCGGACAUCAGGAGGUUAGUGCAAUGGCAUAAGCCAGCUUGACUGCGAGCGUGACGGCGCGAGCAGGUGCGAAAGCAGGUCAUAGUGAUCCGGUGGUUCUGAAUGGAAGGGCCAUCGCUCAACGGAUAAAAGGUACUCCGGGGAUAACAGGCUGAUACCGCCCAAGAGUUCAUAUCGACGGCGGUGUUUGGCACCUCGAUGUCGGCUCAUCACAUCCUGGGGCUGAAGUAGGUCCCAAGGGUAUGGCUGUUCGCCAUUUAAAGUGGUACGCGAGCUGGGUUUAGAACGUCGUGAGACAGUUCGGUCCCUAUCUGCCGUGGGCGCUGGAGAACUGAGGGGGGCUGCUCCUAGUACGAGAGGACCGGAGUGGACGCAUCACUGGUGUUCGGGUUGUCAUGCCAAUGGCACUGCCCGGUAGCUAAAUGCGGAAGAGAUAAGUGCUGAAAGCAUCUAAGCACGAAACUUGCCCCGAGAUGAGUUCUCCCUGAGACUUUAGGUCUCCUGAAGGAACGUUGAAGACGACGACGUUGAUAGGCCGGGUGUGUAAGCGCAGCGAUGCGUUGAGCUAACCGGUACUAAUGAACCGUGAGGCUUAACCUU